rnacentral:rRNA from 1 species
UACGGGGGGGGCAAGCGUUGUUCGGAAUUACUGGGCGUAAAGGGCGCGUAGGCGGUUCGAUAAGUCAGCUGUGAAAACCAUGGGCUUAACUCAUGGCCUGCAGUUGAGACUGUCGGGCUGGAGUGUGGGAGAGGAGAGUGGAAUUCCUGGUGUAGCGGUGAAAUGCGUAGAUAUCAGGAGGAACACCGGUGGCGAAGGCGGCUCUCUGGACCACAACUGACGCUGAGGAGCGAAAGCGUGGGGAGCGAACAGG